CAUUUAAAGAAAGCGUAAUAGCUCACUGGUCGAGUCGGCCUGCGCGGAAGAUGUAACGGGGCUAAACCAUGCACCGAAGCUGCGGCAGCGACGCUGAUGCGUUGUUGGGUAGGGGAGCGUUCUGUAAGCCUGCGAAGGUGUGCUGUGAGGCAUGCUGGAGGUAUCAGAAGUGCGAAUGCUGACAUAAGUAACGAUAAAGCGGGUGAAAAGCCCGCUCGCCGGAAG
rnacentral:rRNA from 1 species